CCGCCGCCGGCGACCGGCGCACGGGUGAGUAACACGUAUGCAACCUGGCCGUGACAGAUGGAUAACCGGGAGAAAUCCCGCCUAAUACAACAUAAUGCCGGGAGGGGACAUCCCCUGCCGGCCAAAGGGGGCGACCCCGGUCACGGAUGGGCAUGCGGCGCAUUAGGUAGUUGGUGGGGCAACGGCCCACCAAGCCGACGAUGCGUAGGGGUUCUGAGAGGAAGGUCCCCCACAUUGGAACUGAGACACGGUCCAAACUCCUACGGAAGGCAGCAG
rnacentral:rRNA from 1 species